rnacentral:snoRNA from 1 species
AUGAACCUUCCAAGUUUAAAAAGAAUACGAUGAUAAUAUUUGCGUAUUUUAUCUCACAGUUCUUCUCAUGAUUUUUAUAUUAUGAGGUUCUAAUGGGGAAUGCGGUUCCUGCGCAGAAAAUUGAUCUUGUUACAUUCUUAUGAAUGAUUCAAGGACGCUAUUUUAGAAAAUUCUGAUUCUU